rnacentral:rRNA from 1 species
AGUGAACGCUGGCGGUAGGCCUAAUACAUGCAAGUCGAACGGCAGCACAGUAAGAGCUUGCCCUUACGGGUGGCGAGUGGCGGACGGGUGAGGAAUACAUCGGAAUCUACUUUUUCGUGGGGGAUUACGUAGGGAAACUUGUGCUAAUACCGCAUACGUUCUACGGGUGAAAGCAGUAGUUCUUCAGACUUUGCGCGUCUGAAUGAGCCGAUCUCGGAUUAGUUGGUUGGCGGGGUAAAGGCACACCAGGGCGAGGUUCCGUGGCUGGUCUGAGAGGAUGGUCAGCACCCCGGGACCUGGACCCCGGUCCAGACUCCAACGGAGGGCACCAGAGGGGAUUAUUGGCCAAUGGGCGCAAGCCUGCUCCAGCCAGACCGCGUAGGUGAAGAAGGCCUUCGGGUUGUAAAGCCCUUUUGUAGGGAAAGAAAAGCAGCAGGUUAAUACCCCGCUGUUCUGCCGGUACCCAAAGGAUAAGCACCGGCAAACUUCGU